rnacentral:rRNA from 1 species
ACAAGCAGCGGAGCGAUGUGGUUUUAAUUCGAAAGCAACGCGAAGAACCUUACCAAGGCUUGACAUCCCUUGACGCGCAUAGAAGUAUGCGUUCCCUUCGGGGCAAGGAGACAGGUGGUGCAUGGUUGUCGUCAGCUCGUGUCGUGAGAUGUUGGGUUAAGUCCCGCAACGAGCGCAACCCUUAUCAUUAGUUGCCAGCGCGUAAUGGCGGGAACUCUAAUGAGACUGCCGGGGAUAACUCGGAGGAAGGUGGGGAUGACGUCAAAUCAUCAUGCCCCUUAUGACCUGGGCUACACACGUGCUACAAUGGGCGGUACAAAGGGUCGCGAACCCGCGAGGGGGAGCCAAUCCCAAAAAGCCGCUCCCAGUUCGGAUUGCAGGCUACAACUCGCCUGCAUGAAGCCGGAAUCGCUAGUAAUCGCGGAUCAGCAUGCCGCGGUGAAUACGUUCCCGGGCCUU